rnacentral:rRNA from 1 species
GAUGAACGCUGGCGGCGUGCCUAAUACAUGCAAGUCGAGCGAAUGGAUUAAGAGCUUGCUCUUAUGAAGUUAGCGGCGGACGGGUGAGUAACACGUGGGUAACCUGCCCAUAAGACUGGGAUAACUCCGGGAAACCGGGGCUAAUACCGGAUAACAUUUUGAACCGCAUGGUUCGAACUUGAAAGGCGGCUUCGGCUGUCACUUAUGGAUGGACCCGCGUCGCAUUAGCUAGUUGGUGAGGUAACGGCUCACCAAGGCAACGAUGCGUAGCCGAGCUGAGGGGGUGAUCGGCCAACAUGGGACUGAGACACGGCCCAGACUCCUACGGGAGGCAGCAGUAGGGAAUCUUCCGCAAUGGACGAAAGUCUGACGGAGCAACGCCGCGUGAGUGAUGAAGGCUUUCGGGUCGUAAAACUCUGUUGUUAGGGAAGAACAAGUGCUAGUUGAAUAAGCUGGCACCUUGACGGUACCUAACCAGAAAGCCACGGCUAACUACGUGCCAGCCGCCGCGGUAA